rnacentral:rRNA from 1 species
UGAGGGAAUAUUUGGGGUCAAUGGCCGAGAGGCUGAACCAGCCAAGUAGCGUGCAGGACGACGGCCCUACGGGUUGUAAACUGCUUUUGCGGGAGGAUAAAGUGCGCCACGCGUGGCGCUUUGCAGGUAUCCCGUGAAUAAGGACCGGCUAAUUCCGUGCCAGCAGCCGCGGUAAUACGGAAGGUCCGGGCGUUAUCCGGAUUUAUUGGGUUUAAAGGGAGCGCAGGCGGAGGUGCAAGCGUGCCGUGAAAGCGCGGGGCUCAACCCCGUACAGCGGCGCGAACUGCUCCCCUUGGUUGCGGGAAGGGAAGGCGGAACUCGUGGUGUAGCGGUGAAAUGCAUAGAUAUCACGAAGAACUCCGAUCG